UUUUUUUUCUUCUUCCUGAAGCUGGGCCUCUGCUAGCUGCUUAUUAAGUAUUACCAAACAGUUAUUACAGCAAAGUUAACACUUUGAUUUAGCACCUGACAAAACGAAGCCUAUUUGCUCCCAUUUCUUCAAGCUCCUCUAGGAGUUUGAGGAAUUUUGCAAAGAUGAGGGAACCCAUCUGCAAGACCAAAGAGUAAAAGCAUUCAAGGUCACUUAGUUGGCACUCUGCCAGGGGCUGGAGAUAUACAGAUUAAAAAUAUAGUCCCUGUCCUCAAGGAGUUUACUGAAGAAAUGAGCAAAGACAAAAUGACUUCAGGGAAUGAAGAGGUUACCCCACCCAACAUCCUGGGGAAAGGAAGGUGUGAACGUGAGUGUGCUGGUGCGGGGGUUGGUGUCAUUGAAGAGGAGACUGGUCUUGGCUGCCAUGAAGGCCCCAGACUCAACUGACCAGAAGUUCAGUCAGCACUGAUGGGGCUCAUCAUUGAAGAGGAGACUGGUCUUGGCCACUGUGAAGUCCCCAGACUCAACUGACCAGAAGUUCAGCCAGCACUGAUGGGGGCUCAUCAUUGAAGAGGAGACUGGUCUUGGCUGCCCUGAAGACCCCACGCUCAACUCACCAGAAGUUCAGCCAGCACUGAUGGGGGCUCAUCAUUGAAGAGGAGACUGAUCUUGGCCGCUGUGAAGUCCCCAGACUCAACUGACCAGAAGUUCAGCCAGCACUGAUGGGGGCUCAUCAUUGAAGAGGAGACUGGUCUUGGCUGCCCUGAAGACCCCACGCUCAACUGACCAGAAGUUCAGCCAACACUGAUGGGGGCUCAUGGGCCAGCGGUUUGAAUAAGUGCUGAUCAAAAGGUGGGCUUCAGCCUGAGGCCAGCUUCCAGGGACCCAAGCUCCAGGGAACCCAGGCUCCAUUGGUUUUCUCCAUCCAGUCCUUGGAAUUAGUGGUACCGUUUGAUGACAAUCUCAUUGAUUUCGAGCUAGAUGAGAUGUCAGAAGUCAUUUUGUCCAAACUAUAUAUUUUCCAGUUGAGGAAACCAAGGCCAGGGACAGUUACUUGUCCAAGCACACAUUUAUGUAGCACUUUCCCAGCAACAAAGUAUUUUAUAUUUGAGCCUCUAAACAACCCAGUGAAGGACAAUUAUGAUGGUAGCCAUCUUAUAGGAAGAGAAACAGAGAAUUUAAGUGACUUGCCUAAGGUCGCACAUUUGUUUGAAGUAGGAUUUGAACUCAGGCCUUCCUGAUUCCCAACUGAAUGCUCUCUCACAGAUCCCAGCUAUCCCCUUGAUGGGCCACCCAUCUCCUUAGGCUAUUAGGCCCAAUCUUCUCCUGGUAGUGGGUAAAUAUGUGUUUGGCAGGGAGAAUUUUCCUUGUUUCAAGAAAUAACAAGGCCUGUAAUUGUUGUUAUUAUUGCUGGUAUCAUUAAUUCUUACAUGAGCUCCCUCUUCCAAAUCAGUUUUCAAGAGAAUGAGCAUUAUUUUUCUCCGACAUUGUCUGUAAACAUUUGGGUACACAACGUUUGUUAUAAAAUGUGAACCGUCUCCCCCACAUGCAAUAGAUCUGGCUCCAUUAAAAGCUUUUCUAGCUC